CUACGGGUUGCUGCAGUGAGGAAUAUUGCGCAAUGGGGGAAACCCUGACGCAGCGACGCCGCGUGGAUGAUGAAGGCCUUCGGGUCGUAAAAUCCUGUCAGAAGGAAAGAAGUGUAUGGUAGCUAAUAUCUGCCAUACUUGACGGUACCUUCAAAGGAAGCACCGGCUAGCUCCGUGCCAGCAGAGCCGCGGUAAUACGGAGGGUGCAAGCGUUGUUCGGAAUUACUGGGCGUAAAGCGCGCGUAGGCGGUUUUAUAAGUCAGAUGUGAAAGUCCACGGCUCAACCAUGGAAGUGCAUUUGAAACUGUAAGACUUGAGUAUUGGAGGGGGUAGUGGAAUUCCCGGUGUAGAGGUGAAAUUCGUAGAUAUCGGGAGGAAUACCGGUGGCGAAGGCGACUAUCUGGCCAAAUACUGACGCUGAGGUGCGAAAGCGUGGGGAGCAAACAGGAUUAGAUACCCCCGUAGUC
rnacentral:rRNA from 1 species